GAUAACUCGGGGGCAGCAGCGGCGGGAAUACAGAGGGUGCAAGGGUUAAUCGGAAUUACUGGGCGGAAAGCGAGCGUAGGGGGCUUGAUAAGUCAGAGGUGAAAUCCCCGGGCUUAACCUGGGAACUGCAUCUGAGACUGGUAAGCUAGAGUAGGUGAGAGGGAAGUAGAAUUCCAGGUGUAGCGGUGAAAUGCGUAGAGAUCUGGAGGAAUACCGAUGGCGAAGGCAGCUUCCUGGCAUCAUACUGACACUGAGGCUCGAAAGCGUGGGUAGCAAACAGGAUUAGAUACCCUUGUAGUC
rnacentral:rRNA from 1 species